rnacentral:rRNA from 1 species
CUACCUGCAGUCGAGCGGUAGAGAGGAGCUUGCUUCUCUUGAGAGCGGCGGACGGGUGAUCAUUUGAAGAGGAUCUGCCUAGUGGUGGGGGAUAACGUUCGGACUUGGACGCUAAUACCGCAUACGUCCUGCGGGAGAAAGCGGGGGAUCUUCGGACCUCGCGCCAUUAGAUGAGCCUAGGUCGGAUUAGCUAGUUGGUGAGGUAAUGGCUCACCAAGGCGACGAUCCGUAACUGGUCUGAGAGGAUGAUCAGUCACACUGGAACUGAGACACGGUCCAGACUCCUACGGGAGGCAGCAGUGGGGAAUAUUGGACAAUGGGCGAAAGCCUGAUCCAGCCAUGCCGCGUGUGUGAAGAAGGUCUUCGGAUUGUAAAGCACUUUAAGUUGGGAGGAAGGGUAGUAACCUAAUACGUUGCUACUUUGACGUUACCGACAGAAUAAGCACCGGCUAACUUCGUGCCAGCAGCCGCGGUAAUACGAAGGGUGCAAGCGUUAAUCGGAAUUACUGGGCGUAAAGCGCGCGUAGGUGGUUCAGUAAGUUGGAAGUGAAAUCCCCGGGCUCAACCUGGGAACUGCUUUCAAAACUGCUGAGCUAGAGUACGGUAGAGGGUGGUGGAAUUUCCUGUGUAGCGGUGAAAUGCGUAGAUAUAGGAAGGAACACCAGUGGCGAAGGCGACCACCUGGACUGAUACUGACACUGAGGUGCGAAAGCGUGGGGAGCAAACAGGAUUAGAUACCCUGGUAGUCCACGCCGUANACGAUGUCAACUAGCCGUUGGAAUCCUUGAGAUUUUAGUGGCGCAGCUAACGCAUUAAGUUGACCGCCUGGGGAGUACGGCCGCAAGGUU